rnacentral:lncRNA from 1 species
GGGUGGGGCCAGAGCUUGCUUCCUGUGCUAUUCGGUUUCUCCACACUUGGACAUCAAAGACAGUGAUCUUCAGACUCUAAAUGAGGGCAGACUGACCCAAGAAACAGGGACAGGUGGUUACUUUGCUACUCACUCCGAAACCCCACAUGGGGUAUUUUAAUAGUGUUCUCCAUCUGUCCAACCUCAGGGGUUAAUCCCUUCCUAAUCUGAGCUGUAAUAAUUGGGUAAUCAGACAAGACACUCCAAAAAGCCCAGGCCAUAGUUUUGCUGUUCUUUUUGGCUAGACUUUUCUUUUAUUAGAGAGAAGUAUAGCUGACCUAGAAAUUUCCUGUUUCAGCUUCAGUCUCCCACUAAACAAAAGCACACACUGCUAAGAAGUGUAUGCAUGUUUAGAAAGCACAGCCGUCCUUCUUGGGGGGGAUUUCAGUCACUGCUCACUGAACAUACAGGAAGGAGAGCUGCUAUGCGCAAAUCACAUGAUCCCGCUUUUUGCUACAAACUGGAAAAAAAAAAGGAAAGAAAAGGCCCCCAAAGGCCCGUAGUUAGCCUAGGCUAAUGAGUUCACUGGUGUGAGUCCAGGAAACAUCCCAGAAUGAAUACAUCUGCUGAGAUUUCUGUCUUUUGAAAAAAGUAACCUUGCUGUGGUGGAUAGCAAAUGAAACAUCAAUGAAAGCUGCAUGAAACCGGAUCAGGGACUUAACCUAAAGCCCACGAAGAAAACCCGGUAGGUGGUUAGGAUCCGGGACAGAAGUAAGCCUGACUAUUUGGGGAUUAACCAUCAUGGAGGAAAACACAGAUUUUUUUUUUUUUUUUCGAAUAAGAAGAAGAGAAAACACCCAAGCUGCUGAGGCCUGAUCACACUGACCUACAACCCGGGAUGGAACAAUGGUACUGUCGGCCUAAUGAGCUGGCGAGUUCACACCGCAGCAAGUCUCACACUGGCGAGCCUCCUGGUUACCGUGCAGGGCAGGCAUCAUGGUUUAUUCAUGGUAGCACCCGGCACACGGGAGAGACUCUACAAAUGCUCAUGGAACAGAAUGGACACCAUAGAGGUCCUUCCUGCGCUACUCUGGAGUUCCUUACACCCGGUCUCCCCAGGAAGCACUGAGGAGUCUGAUUCAUGAUGUCAAGCGGUCAGUUAGAGUCCGGGAAAGCCUCUUUCUGGUCUCACCUUACUUCCUGAACUUCCUGUUCUAGGAGAGACGCUCAUUAAUAGUGAGAGAGAGUUGAUGGAAUUAGAGUCCGGAAGUAACAACCUCUUGUGAACCUGAACUCAUUGAUUUCUUUGUUUUACAAAACAGUGUUCUUGAUAAAAAUAAACAAAAAAGGAAAUAAUACAACUAAUAACUCCAAGGUCUAAAUGUAAACCAGCUGUAUCUCAUAACAACAGAAGCUGCAAUGGCCAACAUACGUCAUUAAUAAAACGCCAACUUACGUGGAUGGGGAUUGGGAUUUCUUGGCAUAAUGCAAACAGCACAUAAAAAACGAGUGGGGAAGAGACUGGUAUUUGUAUACAUAUGUAAUUAUUACAUAUAUUCUUAAACGAUAUUUAAUAAAUAAUCAAAUGAUUAAAUAACAUAUACUAUAUAUACUAUAUUAUAUUAAUAUAGUUA